GAUGAACACUGGCGGCGUGCUUAACACAUGCAAGUCGAACGAUGAAGCUGGAGCUUGCUCUAGCGGAUUAGUGGCGAACGGGUGAGUAACACGUGAGCAAUCUGCCCUUGACUCUGGGAUAACUGCGGGAAACUGUAGCUAAUACCGGAUACUUUCACCGGGGGGCAUCCUCUGGUGAUGAAAGAAUUUCGGUCAAGGAUGAGCUCGCGGCCUAUCAGCUUGUUGGUGAGGUAACGGCUCACCAAGGCGACGACGGGUAACCGGCCUGAGAGGGUGACCGGUCACACUGGGACUGAGACACGGCCCAGACUCCUACGGGAGGCAGCAGUGGGGAAUAUUGCACAAUGGGCGCAAGCCUGAUGCAGCAACGCCGCGUGAGGGAUGAAGGCCUUCGGGUUGUAAACCUCUUUUAGCAGGGAAGAAGCGAAAGUGACGGUACCUGCAGAAAAAGCACCGGCUAACUACGUGCCAGCAGCCGCCGUAA
rnacentral:rRNA from 1 species